GAUGAACGCUGGCGGCGUGCCUAAUACAUGCAAGUCGAGCGAACAGAUAAGGAGCUUGCUCCUUUGAAGUUAGCGGCGGACGGGUGAGUAACACGUGGGUAACCUACCUAUAAGACUGGGAUAACUUCGGGAAACCGGAGCUAAUACCGGAUAACAUUUAGAACCGCAUGGUUCUAAAGUGAAAGAUGGUUUUGCUAUCACUUAUAGAUGGACCCGCGCCGUAUUAGCUAGUUGGUAAGGUAACGGCUUACCAAGGCGACGAUACGUAGCCGACCUGAGAGGGUGAUCGGCCACACUGGAACUGAGACACGGUCCAGACUCCUACGGGAGGCAGCAGUAGGGAAUCUUCCGCAAUGGGCGAAAGCCUGACGGAGCAACGCCGCGUGAGUGAUGAAGGGUUUCGGCUCGUAAAACUCUGUUAUUAGGGAAGAACAAAUGUGUAAGUAACUGUGCACAUCUUGACGGUACCUAAUCAGAAAGCCACGGCUAACUACGUGCCAGCAGCCGCGGUAAUACGUAGGUGGCAAGCGUUAUCCGGAAUUAUUGGGCGUAAAGCGCGCGUAGGCGGUUUCUUAAGUCUGAUGUGAAAGCCCACGGCUCAACCGUGGAGGGUCAUUGGAAACUGGGAAACUUGAGUGCAGAAGAGGAAAGUGGAAUUCCAUGUGUAGCGGUGAAAUGCGCAGAGAUAUGGAGGAACACCAGUGGCGAAGGCGACUUUCUGGUCUGUAACUGACGCUGAUGUGCGAAAGCGUGGGGAUCAAACAGGAUUAGAUACCCUGGUAGUCCACGCCGUAAACGAUGAGUGCUAAGUGUUAGGGGGGUUUCCGCCCCUUAGUGCUGCAGCUAACGCAUUAAGCACUCCGCCUGGGGAGUACGACCGCAAGGUUGAAACUCAAAGGAAUUGACGGGGACCCGCACAAGCGGUGGAGCAUGUGGUUUAAUUCGAAGCAACGCGAAGAACCUUACCAAAUCUUGACAUCCUUUGAAAACUCUAGAGAUAGAGCCUUCCCCUUCGGGGGACAAAGUGACAGGUGGUGCAUGGUUGUCGUCAGCUCGUGUCGUGAGAUGUUGGGUUAAGUCCCGCAACGAGCGCAACCCUUAAGCUUAGUUGCCAUCAUUAAGUUGGGCACUCUAGGUUGACUGCCGGUGACAAACCGGAGGAAGGUGGGGAUGACGUCAAAUCAUCAUGCCCCUUAUGAUUUGGGCUACACACGUGCUACAAUGGACAAUACAAAGGGCAGCUAAACCGCGAGGUCAUGCAAAUCCCAUAAAGUUGUUCUCAGUUCGGAUUGUAGUCUGCAACUCGACUACAUGAAGCUGGAAUCGCUAGUAAUCGUAGAUCAGCAUGCUACGGUGAAUACGUUCCCGGGUCU
rnacentral:rRNA from 1 species